rnacentral:rRNA from 1 species
UACGUAGGUGGCAAGCGUUGUCCGGAUUUAUUGGGUUUAAAGGGUGCGUAGGCGGCCCUAUAAGUCAGUGCUGAAAUAUCCCGGCUUAACCGGGAGGGUGGCAUUGAUACUGUAGGGCUUGAGUCGAGUUGAGGUUGGCGGAAUUGACGGUGUAGCGGUGAAAUGCUUAGAUAUCGUCAAGAACACCGAUAGUGAAGACAGCUAACUAAGCUCAAACUGACGCUGAGGCACGAAAGUGUGGGGAUCAAACAGG